rnacentral:rRNA from 1 species
CUACGGGGGGCACCAGUGGGGAAUAUUGCACAAUGGGCGCAAGCCUGAUGCAGCCAUGCCGCGUGUAUGAAGAAGGCCUUCGGGUUGUAAAGUACUUUCAGCGGGGAGGAAGGGAGUAAAGUUAAUACCUUUACUCAUUGACGUUACCCGCAGAAGAAGCACCGGCUAACUCCGUGCCAGCAGCCGCGGUAAUACGGAGGGUGCAAGCGUUAAUCGGAAUUACUGGGCGUAAAGCGCACGCAGGCGGUUUGUUAAGUCAGAUGUGAAAUCCCCGGGCUCAACCUGGGAACUGCAUCUGAUACUGGCAAGCUUGAGCCUCGUAGAGGGGGGUAGAAUUCCAGGUGUAGCGGUGAAAUGCGUAGAGAUCUGGAGGAAUACCGGUGGCGAAGGCGGCCCCCUGGACGAAGACUGACGCUCAGGUGCGAAAGCGUGGGGAGCAAACAGGAUUAGAUACCCCCGUAGUC